ensembl:lncRNA
AGUGUUCUUGCUUCAUAACGUUGCAGGGGAAGAUGGAGUUAAUUCGUACAAAGGGCUUGGUGCACGCCUGAGGAGCGGAAAGUGCUCCAUCCAUGGUGCCUUUUACUCGCUUUCUGUUCAGAGGGUCCUGCGGCCCACUGUCCGCACCAGGCAGAAUUUGGGUAGCGGGGAGUCAAAGAUGGUGAGGGUACCUGCCCCAGAGGCUUGCAGGAUGGGCGUGGAGUCAUCGUUCAGAGGAGCUGAACACUCUGGGAGUGGCAAGCAGGGCAAACUGUGAGGUGCUGAUGGUUGCAGGAGUGAGAGUGAAGGGCCUUUUCCCUCCGCCUUGCAACCCCUCCUCCCACUCUGCUGAGUGUACCGCCCUUGACUUCAUGGGGGACACUUCACUCAGCCAGUAUAUACUCAGGCUGUGGACACCAGCAUGUAUCCGUGCAUCCCCCAUUAGGACAUGUGGCCCAUCUAGGAUGACUGGCAGCUAAGGAACAGGAAGUAUGCCCCUCUGGACACUGGGUUUUAGCCCGGGUGUUGGGACUGGUCUUGCAGGGGAGAGGAGAGGGCAGGAGAGAGGGCUUACCUGGAGUCACCCUUUGGGUGGGUCUGGGGGUUUCAUUUCCUUUUCCUACAGUGAGUGUGUACACGCCGGCUCCAGACCUCAUCCAGGUGUUCUCAUUAGACGCCGAGUCCAGAAGUAAAGUGCCGGUGCCAAGGAGGAUGGCCGCGCCUUGCAGACAUUGAGGAGCGAGCAGCAGUGACUGACCAGGUAGUCCGUCCUCUGUGGACCCUCCCAGGUGUGAUUCGGAGAACGAAGGAAAUGCGAACAACAGCAGAGAUUCAAGUCGCUCCUGAGCAUUCUGCCCUCUUGUUCACAUACCCCAGUAUGAUGUGAUCAAAGUCCCAGAAAGGAUGCUCAUAAGUUAUCCAAACAUUUGUAAAAUGCAGACAUUGUUUCUGCCUGAGAACAGCGAGCCCAUUGAAUGAGGCAGAGUAGCCUCUGGCCCACUUUUCCUCUCCUUUUAAACUCUAAGUUCUCUUCUUCCAGGAAGCCUUCCUGUGAUGUGGAGGUUCCAGAUAACCCCUCACACUCACAGAUGUCCACUUUGGCUCUCACCUGCUCACAUGUUGCUUGAGAAGUGUUUGUAGAGUCCUUUUUUCUUAGUCUUGUUUCACAAAUUAGGUUGUAAGGUCUGCAGAAGGGGAUCAAGUCUUUUAAACUUUUCUCUCUCCUCUUUCCUGCCUUUCCAUGCGUCACAGCUCUGCCCAGUGACGUGCUGAACACAUUUUAGAAACUUUCCUAUAGUCCAGACCAGCACUUUAGCUUUACAGCUUAGACACUGUCAGACACAAUGAACUGUAAGAUGAACUCCUAUUUCAUGUACCACUGAGAAGGGAAAAAAUUUUGCCAAUUAAACUACGUAAUGAAAUCAUUAGCAAUGCCCUGAUUUCAGCAGUUAUAAUGUGCGUCUUAGAUGCCAAUAAUGGCUGUUCCCCUACCUCUGAGAAUUGGCUGAAUGAGCCAAGUGCCUGCUGUGUUUUCAGGUCGCUGCCCCCUGGUUUGGAGUGGGAUGGGUCCACGGGGACAGCAAAAGAAGACUUGCCCUUUCAUCCAUGCUUCCUGAGAGUCACCUAGGCACUGGCCCGUUUAGCAGAUGGAGAAAGUAAGAGAUCCUAACACAUUCAAGGAAAGGUCAGCUCUGACACCUGAACCAUGACUGCAGCCUGAGAAGACCAGUGGACCCGUCUGGGGAAUGUUGGGGCACAUCCCACUCCUGAGAUGCAGAGUUCUCGGGGAGGAAUUAAGGAAGAAACGGGGGCAAUAAGCAUAGUUUGCUGACUUUGGAAGCCUGACUGGGAAAAACACAAAGUAAAGAGGACAGUGGGCAGAGGGGACAAGAGAGGACGAGAGACCUUUCUAAGACAGGCCAGGCCUGCUCAGGUGAUGUUUUCAUCGGAUCAUCUUGGCUUCUGAGUUGCAACUUGAGGGAGCAGUGGGACCAGAGAGGAAGCAGCUGUGACAUCCCAGGGGUGCAAGUGUGCAUGGGCUCUGGGAGUGAGAGGAGAGAAACAGUUGGGUUUGGGGUAGUUCUUUGAAUUCUGUGAGCCCACAGGGUUUGCUGCUAGAGUGGACGUGGAAUAAUAGGAGGAGGCAGGAGUUUGGAGAUACCAUGAUAUUUUUGGCCAGAUCACUGGAAAGAUGGAGUUGUCAUCAGGUGAAAUAAAGAUGAGAUGGUUGGAUGGCA